GACGAACGCGGGCGGCGUGCCUAAUACAUGCAAGUAGAACGCUGAAGGAGGAGCUUGCUCUUCUGGAUGAGUUGCGAACGGGUGAGUAACGCGUAGGUAACCUGCCUGGUAGCGGGGGAUAACUAUUGGAAACGAUAGCUAAUACCGCAUAAGAGUAGAUGUUGCAUGACAUUUGCUUAAAAGGUGCAAUUGCAUCACUACCAGAUGGACCUGCGUUGUAUUAGCUAGUUGGUGAGGUAACGGCUCACCAAGGCAACGAUACAUAGCCGACCUGAGAGGGUGAUCGGCCACACUGGGACUGAGACACGGCCCAGACUCCUACGGGAGGCAGCAGUAGGGAAUCUUCGGCAAUGGACGGAAGUCUGACCGAGCAACGCCGCGUGAGUGAAGAAGGUUUUCGGAUCGUAAAGCUCUGUUGUAAGAGAAGAACGGGUGUGAGAGUGGAAAGUUCACACUGUGACG
rnacentral:rRNA from 1 species